rnacentral:rRNA from 1 species
AUUGAACGCUGGCGGCAGGCCUAACACAUGCAAGUCGAACGAGUGGCGGACGGGUGAGUAAUGUCUGGGAAACUGCCUGAUGGAGGGGGAUAACUACUGGAAAAGGUAGCUAAUACCGCAUACCAUCGGAUGUGCCCAGAUGGGCUUAGCUAGUAGGUGGGGUAAAGGCUCACCUAGGCGACGAUCCAUAGAUGGCCUGAGAGGAUGACCAGCCACACUGGAACUGAGACACGGUCCAGACGCCUACGGGAGGCAGCAGUGGGGAAUAUUGGACAAUGGGCGCAAGCCUGAGACAGCCAUGCCGCGUGUAUGAAGAAGGCCUUCGGGUUGUAAAGUACUUUCAGCGGGGAGGCGGUACCCGCAGAAGAAGCACCGGCUAACUCCGUGCCAGCAGCCGCGGUAAUUC